rnacentral:rRNA from 1 species
UACAGAGGGUGCGAGCGUUAAUCGGAAUUACUGGGCGUAAAGCGCACGUAGUCGGCUUUGCAAGUCGGUUGUGAAAUCCCCGGGCUCAACCUGGGAACUGCAUCCGAGACUGCAUUGCUAGAGUAUGGGAGAGGAAAGCGGAAUUUCUGGUGUAGCAGUGAAAUGCGUAGAUAUCAGAAGGAACAUCAGUGGCGAAGGCGCUUUCUGGACCA